ACGGGUGGGUCGCAUCCAGCCGGCUGCCUGUCUGCCGUAGAAAUUAGAGCAACGCGAGACGCGACGCGACGCGCCCAAGCAGAAGAAACAGGGGCAGGAAGGGACGCCGACCCCAAAUCCAGGCGUCGCCCAGAUUUUAAUAGAAAGAAAAAGGCACGCCACCCAGACCCAACCAAACCAGACCAUACCAUACCGCAAUCGUAGUGGUGGAGCAGGGCCGGAUCGGUAGCAGUCGCACGUACUCCAGCGAGUAGCGUAGGCGUAGCGACCACCACCAGACCAGCAGCAGUGCACAGCACCGGGCAGCCGAGCCGAGCCGGGGCGUGUGCCCGCGUGAGGAGGAGGAGAAACCAAAGCAGGCGUCCGUGCCCCAUCCCCUCCCUCCCUCCCUCCCUCCCCCUUCCGCUUCCCCACCCAGGCAGAGGCAGAGGCAGGCCAGGGGGCCGAGGGAGCCCAAACAAAAACCACCAAGGGGAAGAAGGGAAAGAAGCACGCACGCCACUGUGACCAAACCCUAGGCCGGCCGCGAUGCGCAAGGCGAGGCCGCCGCAGCCCCAGCCGCAGCCGUCGCCGGAGAUCCGGUACCGCGGCGUGCGGAAGCGCCCCUCGGGCCGCUACGCCGCCGAGAUCCGGGACCCGGCCAAGAAGACGCCGAUCUGGCUGGGCACCUUCGACUGCGCCGAGGACGCCGCCCGCGCCUACGACUCCGCCGCCCGAUCCCUCCGCGGGCCCACCGCCCGCACCAACUUCCCGCCCUCCUCCGCCACGCAGCCGCCGCCGCGCCCUCCCCCUCCCCCCGCGGCGGCCGCCGCGACCGCCACGACCAGCCAGAGCAGCACCGUCGAGUCCUGGAGCGGCGGCGGGCCCCGCGCCCCCGCCAGGGCCCGCAGCGCCGCCCGAGCGGGCACGGCCGAGGAAGGGGAGGAGGACUGCCGCAGCUACUGCGGCUCCUCCUCCUCCGUCCUCCUCUGCGAGGAUGGGGACGACGCGGCCGCCUCCCGCACCCCGCUGCCCUUCGAUCUGAACAUGCCGCCCCCACAGGACGGGGCCCUUGACGCCGCGGCCGCCGAGGCUGAUCAGAUGACCUGCCGCUACGACACGCUGCUCCGCCUCUAGCUCGACAACGACGACGAGAAUAGCAAGGAUUCGUGGGAGGGGGGACUGGGGAAAGGAACGAGAAAAGCGCUUGCCCCCGCUCCGCUCUGCUCUGCGUUUCUUCUUUCAAGCUACCAGUGUUACUUUAGAGAAAAGGCUACCGAUGUUAUAUCAAUGGUUUUGCGUUUUGCUGUUCCUUCGAAGCAC
rnacentral:rRNA from 1 species